UUUUUCUUCUUCACCGCGACUAUUUCCACUCUCUUCCGCCGCGCCAUGGCCAUCACAUCGGCACACACAGAACUUCUUUUCCGGUAAGUCUACUGCGCUCUCUUCUCUUUUUUCUUCCCAUUCUUCUUUCUUCAUUUCUUCUUCUUCUUCUUCUUCUUCUUCUUCUUCUUCUUCUUCUUUUAUCUCUCUCUCUCUUUCUCUCUCUACCCGACCAUGAUUCUUCUCUCUCUUCUUCUCCUUUUUCUAGUCGAGCAUCACCGCGUCACACAACCCGCGCAACUCUCCUCCUCUUUCUUUCUCUUUCAGCUGCGUCGUCGCGCAACACUGCGCAACUCUUCUCUCUCAACUGUCUACGCCACUCGAUCCUUCCUCUCCUCUCACAGUCAUCUCUCUCUCUCAUUGCGACUCUCAUCUCUUUCUUUUUUUUUCUUUCUUUCUUUCUCUGCUUUUUCAUUACAUAUAUAUACAUAUAUAUAUAUAUAUAUUAUUGUUACAUGUUUUCUUCUUCUGCUCCUAGAUUUCACCUUUGGAUUCUUUUUUUUUUUUCUUUAAUUCUCUUUUUUUUUUCAUUUAUAUGUGUGUAUAUAUAUAUAUUUCAUUUCACCUUUGGAUUCUUUUUUUUUUCUUUAAUUCUCUUUUUUUU
rnacentral:lncRNA from 1 species